rnacentral:rRNA from 1 species
UACGUAGGUGGCAAGCGUUAUCCGGAAUUAUUGGGCGUAAAGCGCGCGCAGGCGGUUUUUUAAGUCUGAUGUGAAAGCCCACGGCUCAACCGUGGAGGGUCAUUGGAAACUGGGGAACUUGAGUGCAGAAGAGGAAAGCGGAAUUCCACGUGUAGCGGUGAAAUGCGUAGAGAUGUGGAGGAACACCAGUGGCGAAGGCGGCUUUUUGGUCUGUAACUGACGCUGAGGCGCGAAAGCGUGGGGAGCAAACAGG